rnacentral:rRNA from 1 species
UACGUAGGGUGCAAGCGUUGUCCGGAAUUAUUGGGCGUAAAGAGCUCGUAGGCGGUCUGUUGCGUCCGCUGUGAAAACUCGGGGCUUAACCCCGAGCCUGCAGUGGAUACGGGCAGACUAGAGGUAGGUAGGGGGAGAAUGGAAUUCCCGGUGUAGCGGUGAAAUGCGCAGAUAUCGGGAGGAACACCGGUGGCGAAGGCGGUUCUCUGGGCCUUACCUG